CCCACGUCUCGUUGCGUUGGACGUAAGAAAAACCCCAGUUCCACGAGAGACCUGCAAAAUCUGAUGGAGCCUCAGUGGACCCUCGUUUCACCAUCUCGGCGCUGAUUUCCUCGGUGGAGCAGUGGAGAAGAGCUGUCUGCAAGCUCUGUAACAGGGUCUCUGCGACCGAAACAGACGAAGUAAAGCUUCUCCGAAGUUUUUGGCCUGCUGGUGGACAAGAGGACCCUAUAGGUUAAUCAGCGCCUGCGAGGCUCCUGUUCAGAUAUUCUUGUCAUCAACGAACCACGACGUGUUAUUAAACGCAGAAAAGUAAAAAAAAUUGGGGCGAAUUCCUGAAGUGAUGGUAUCAACUUUUUUUCCAUUCAUUGUGAAAUCCCAAAAAAAGCCGUCAUGCGAUGCAACACCCUGAGGCAGUUUAAGGUUUCCCAGAAGAUGGCGAUGCUGUGUUAUUUAGGGCAAUAUGAGUGCGUGUGUGGGGGAGAUAUGAUGACCAUUUUCUAAUCAUUUGAGCCAACCUUGCCUCGUUUUUAACAUUUAGCAGUCAUGCAUAUUUAAAAGGAUUUAGUAUGUGUGCAUUGCUUAGCCAGGUUAAACCAUUUGGGACAGUUCACCCCCAACCCCAGAAGAACCAUAGCUACCCAGGAACAUUGUCAGUUUGGCCCUGGUGAAUGUAAAUGUAACCAUCACAAUUUUGAUAGCUUUAUUUCUGACUUCUAACGCCUGAUAUGUACAGACCAAGCCAUCCAAAUUGUAUAAACAGACCACAGGACUCGAUUGUAUUUGACAAUACUUUAUUUGUUUUCUUGCACAAUAAAUAAAUUGUCAUCUGUUCACCAAACAAGCAGUAAUCUCUUCAUGAAUUUUAAACCUCAGAGUAAUACAUAACAUCUAGUCAGGAUUGUGGUUUAAAACACAGACACAUCUUACAUCUGUUUUGUUUAAUGUGUCACACUGCAAAAGGUGUUAUGAGCUAUACAUCCGUUCCAUACAUGGGUACACCCAGGCUUAUCACAAUACUUUAAACAAAUACUAGCAGAUCCACUGUAAUUCACUAUAAAACACUGCUGGACUCCAUACCCACCACAAUUACUUGCAAAACACUGAAAGGCCCAUACCCAUCACGUUUUAUUAAAAUGCUCCACCACUAUUCAUUCCAAACACUGGUAGACCCAUAGCCAUCACAACGCUUUAUAAAACACUGGUCCACCAUAUUUUUAUGAAGCACUAAUAAACCCAUGCCCAUCAUAAAUCCCUUACAAAACACUGGUAGGCCUGAAAACAUGAAUGCUUACAAAAUACCAGUCUUUACUGAUAAAACACUGGCAAGCCCAUACCAGUCGUGAUUCAUUCUAAAAUGCUGGUCCAUCUUUUUUUUUUUUUUUU